CCUACGGGAGGCAGCAGUGAGGAAUAUUGGUCAAUGGGCGCAAGCCUGAACCAGCCAAGUAGCGUGAAGGAUGACUGCCCUACGGGUUGUAAACUUCUUUUAUAAGGGAAUAAAGUGAGGCACGUGUGCCUUUUUGUAUGUACUUUAUGAAUAAGGCUCGGCUAACUCCGUGCCAGCAGCCGCGGUAAUACGUAGGAUCCGAUCUUUAUCCGGAUUUAUUAGGUUUAAAGGGAGCGUAGAUGGGUUGUUAAGUCAGUUGUGAAAGUUUGCGGAUCAACCGUAAAAUUGCAAUUGAUACUGGCAGCCUUGAGUACAGUUGAGGUAGGCGGAAUUCGUGGUGUAGCAGUGAAAUGCUUAGAUAUCACGAAGAACUCCGAUUGCGAAGGCAGCCUACUAAACUGCCACUGACAUUGAUGCUCGAAAGUGUGGGUAUCAAACAGGAUUAGAUACCCCUGUAGUC
rnacentral:rRNA from 1 species